rnacentral:rRNA from 1 species
UCAGGCCUAACACAUGCAAGUCGAGCGGAAACGAGUUAUCUGAACCUUCGGGGAACGAUAACGGCGUCGAGCGGCGGACGGGUGAGUAAUGCCUAGGAAAUUGCCCUGAUGUGGGGGAUAACCAUUGGAAACGAUGGCUAAUACCGCAUGAUGCCUACGGGCCAAAGAGGGGGACCUUCGGGCCUCUCGCGUCAGGAUAUGCCUAGGUGGGAUUAGCUAGUUGGUGAGGUAAGGGCUCACCAAGGCGACGAUCCCUAGCUGGUCUGAGAGGAUGAUCAGCCACACUGGAACUGAGACACGGUCCAGACUCCUACGGGAGGCAGCAGUGGGGAAUAUUGCACAAUGGGCGCAAGCCUGAUGCAGCCAUGCCGCGUGUGUGAAGAAGGCCUUCGGGUUGUAAAGCACUUUCAGUCGUGAGGAAGGUAGUGUCGUUAAUAGCGGCAUUACUUGACGUUAGCGACAGAAGAAGCACCGGCUAACUCCGUGCCAGCAGCCGCGGUAAUACGGAGGGUGCGAGCGUUAAUCGGAAUUACUGGGCGUAAAGCGCAUGCAGGUGGUUUGUUAAGUCAGAUGUGAAAGCCCGGGGCUCAACCUCGGAAUAGCAUUUGAAACUGGCAGACUAGAGUAUUGUAGAGGGGGGUAGAAUUUCA